rnacentral:rRNA from 1 species
CUACGGGAGGCAGCAGUGGGGAAUAUUGGGCAAUGGGCGCAAGCCUGACCCAGCCAUGCCGCGUGGGUGAGGAAGGUCUUAGGAUUGUAAAGCCCUUUCAGCAGGGAGGAUGAUGACGGUACCUGCAGAAGAAGCCCCGGCUAACUCCGUGCCAGCAGCCGCGGUAAUACGGAGGGGGCUAGCGUUGUUCGGAAUUACUGGGCGUAAAGGGCACGUAGGCGGCCCGCUAAGUCAGAGGUGAAAUCCCCGAGCUCAACUUGGGAAUUGCCUUUGAUACUGGCGGGCUCGAGUCCGGGAGAGGAUAGUGGAAUUCCCAGUGUAGAGGUGAAAUUCGUAGAUAUUGGGAAGAACACCAGUGGCGAAGGCGGCUAUCUGGACCGGUACUGACGCUGAGGUGCGAAAGCGUGGGGAGCAAACAGGAUUAGAUACCCGAGUAGUCC